rnacentral:tRNA from 1 species
UAGGUUGAAGCCAGUUGUGUAUGGUAUUUAGCUGUUAACUAAAACUUCGUGGGGUUGGAGCCCACCAAUCUAG